CAUUACCGAGUUUACAACUCCCAAACCCCUGUGAACAUACCAAUUGUUGCCUCGGCGGAUCAGCCCGCUCCCGGUAAAACGGGACGGCCCGCCAGAGGACCCCUAAACUCUGUUUCUAUAUGUAACUUCUGAGUAAAACCAUAAAUAAAUCAAAACUUUCAACAACGGAUCUCUUGGUUCUGGCAUCGAUGAAGAACGCAGCAAAAUGCGAUAAGUAAUGUGAAUUGCAGAAUUCAGUGAAUCAUCGAAUCUUUGAACGCACAUUGCGCCCGCCAGUAUUCUGGCGGGCAUGCCUGUUCGAGCGUCAUUUCAACCCUCAAGCCCCCGGGUUUGGUGUUGGGGAUCGGCGAGCCCUUGCGGCAAGCCGGCCCCGAAAUCUAGUGGCGGUCUCGCUGCAGCUUCCAUUGCGUAGUAGUAAAACCCUCGCAACUGGUACGCGGCGCGGCCAAGCCGUUAAACCCCCAACUUCUGAAUGUUGACCUCGGAUCAGGUAGGAAUACCCGCUGAACUUAAGCAUAUCAAUAAGCGGAGGAAAAGAAACCAACAGGGAUUGCCCUAGUAACGGCGAGUGAAGCGGCAACAGCUCAAAUUUGAAAUCUGGCUCUCGGGCCCGAGUUGUAAUUUGUAGAGGAUACUUUUGAUGCGGUGCCUUCCGAGUUCCCUGGAACGGGACGCCAUAGAGGGUGAGAGCCCCGUCUGGUUGGAUGCCAAAUCUCUGUAAAGUUCCUUCGACGAGUCGAGUAGUUUGGG
rnacentral:rRNA from 1 species